AUUGAACGCUGGCGGCAGGCCUAACACAUGCAAGUCGAACGGUAGCACAGAGAGCUUGCUCUCGGGUGACGAGUGGCGGACGGGUGAGUAAUGUCUGGGAAACUGCCUGAUGGAGGGGGAGUAACUACUGGAAACGGUAGCUAAUACCGCAUAAUGUCGCAAGACCAAAGAGGGGGACCUUAGGGCCUCUUGCCAUCAGAUGUGCCCAGAUGGGAUUAGCUAGG
rnacentral:rRNA from 1 species